rnacentral:rRNA from 1 species
AUUGAACGCUGGCGGCAGGCUUAACACAUGCAAGUAGAGCGAGCGGCGGACGGGUGAGUAAUGUCUGGGAAACUGCCUGAUGGAGGGGGAUAACUACUGGAAACGGUAGCUAAUAACGCAUACAAUAAGAUGUGCCCAGAUGGGAUUAGCUAGUAGGUGGGGUAAUGGCUAACCUAGGAGACGAUCCCUAGCUGGUCUGAGAGGAUGAACACCCACACUGGAACGUAGACACGGUCCAGACUCCUACGUGAGGCAGCAGUGGGGAAUAUUGCACAAAGGGCGCAAGCCUGAUGCAGCCAUGCCGCGUGUGUGAAGAAGGUCUUCGGGUUGUAAAGCACUUUCAGCGAGGAGGCGUUACUCGCAGAAGAAGCACCGGCUAACUCCGUGCCAGCAGCGGCGGUAAUUC